rnacentral:lncRNA from 1 species
ACUAUCAUACAAAGGGUCUUAACAGAACUGCCCAAAAAUCAUUAUCAUACAAAGGGUCUUGCCUUGUAAAUCAUUUCACUUUAUCGACACUGACUCGAUGGUAGCCAUUUCUUUUUUGGCGGCUUCACUCAUCUACCAGUAUUCGGUAAGUACCUUAAUUGGGUAUUUAAAUUAGAAUUUAAUUAUUAAGUAUUUUUCUCACCAAUCACACACCCAUCCAUGGUCACCUUAAUUCAGCUUAUAGAUACCCCUUUCUGUGACACAACUCUCAAUCAAAGACACCAAUUGUUAGGACUUAAGCCCAUGAGGUGAGCCCAACUCAAAAAAACUAGUCUUUUAGGUGGGAGAGCCUCAUGGUUUAAGUACCACAUUGAGUUUGUUAUUCUACUCAAUGUGGGACUCCUAACAAAAUGCAUCAAUGAACAAAAGAAGGACCACUUGCCAUUGUCUUGUUCUGAAUGCUGGAAGUGCAUCCACAAAUGACACGGUCACCAAUAAGCAUACCCAAGAUAAAGUUCUUAGAACUAUAUAUAACCCAUCCACGUACAAACAAGUGAUUCUAUUUCUUGGAAGACUUCUCUUAAUACAAAUAUGAAGAUUAUAUCUUAAACCUAUCUGUAAUUUUGGGGAGGGCUUUACUAAAACGUCACCCCCAGCUCGGAGGUUAGUCUCACUGCAAGCCUAUGAGAAUAGCUUGGUUAAAGAAAGUAACAAUUUUUUUGUGCAACUCUUCAUUAGUGCAUUUAGGUGCUUAGAACAAUACACCUUGGUAUCUUAAAAGUAUUGCAGGCAUCCCUCACUAGAGCCAUUACCCAUAAUGACAUAGUAUGAGCUAUAUGAAGACAAGAUUAACUGAUUUUGCCUUUUCCACCAUUUCAUGUUAUGUCAUAGAGUAUAUCACAAGUUCAAAUCUUGGAAACAAUCUCUCUGCUUACAUUUACCCUUCCCAUAGUCUACUAAGUGAGAAUCUCAUGCACUGGACAACCCAUUGACUUACAGACAAACUGAAACCCUCUGGUGGUGGAUCACUGGAUCAUACCAUGAGCCUUCAGAGUCGAACAAAUCAAUAUCACUUGCUGGUUUAACUUCAUGAUAAGCACUUCUCUCUGUUUGACCUGAUGAUACUUUUGAAACACUACACUCAUCUUGGAUCACUGGAUAAUCAUGGUAUGAGUACCUUGGGAUCCUGAGAAUGCUAAAAGCAAAAUCAAGCUCACUUUGUUGGAAAGUGGAAAAGGAUAAGAAUAAGCAAUUACACUAUUCUACUUCUCAGAAAUUAGGAACUCAGCUUCACAAUUUUAUAUCAUAAUCACCCAAUUGCCCAACAUUGAACAUGAUAGGAUGAAAAACAGAUAUUUCAGCAAGAAUUGGCAUAUGGCUAUCUGAUUAUAUACGUCUCCUAACAAUUAUUUAGAAGAAUAAUACAUGUAUGUCUCAUGCAGGUCAUAGACCUGUGCUCCUUUAGUGAAAUUAGAUUUAAUCCCCUAUGUAUCCUUAUGUGGUAAUGAGGAAUUAAGCGUAUAUAGUUCUGGAUCCAGCUCUCUGAUAAAAGCCCUCAGUCAAGUCGUCAGCUGUCGCGAAAACGAAAAUCGGGGUAAGACAAUUAGCCAUUGAACAAAAGCUUCUCAGAACAAUAUAUGGAAUUGCAUCAUCUAGAAAAAGCACCUUAAUAGGUUACUAGAUUCCAACAAAAUUUAAACUUGCAAGACAUAAAGGUUCUACCAAUAAUAGAGAAGAAAAAUAGGAAAACAAAUAUUGCAUAAAAUGACCAUGUGUAAAUUCUAUUGCCCCAACACCCUCAUAAAUCUUAAACACAAACAAUACCAUGUGUUCAGUACCUUCAUCACAAUCAUCAAACAAACCUCAUGCUUGAGCCUUGAAGGGGUUACUUGCCCACUAACUGGACAUAAACUGAUAAUAGGUAAUGUCCAAGAGCUGUUACAAAUUAUAUUUCUCACCUAAUAUCAUGAUCAAGUUUACAUUAAUUUACUUAGUUAGAAUGUUUGAGUGCAAAAAGACUGCUACAAAGGUGGAUAAGCCUAAAGUUUUCCACUUGGUUUGGCAUAGAACUUGAGAACGCAAAGGAAAGGACAUUUUUUCCCAAUGUUAAUG